rnacentral:rRNA from 1 species
UACGGAGGGGGCUAGCGUUGUUCGGAAUUACUGGGCGUAAAGCGCACGUAGGCGGCUUUGUAGGUUAGAGGUGAAAGCCCAGGGCUCAACCCUGGAAUUGCCUUUAAGACUGCAUCGCUUGAACAUCGGAGAGGUAAGUGGAAUUCCGAGUGUAGAGGUGAAAUUCGUAGAUAUUCGGAAGAACACCAGUGGCGAAGGCGACUUACUGGACGAUUGUUGACGCUGAGGUGCGAAAGCGUGGGGAGCAAACAGG